CUCACUAUAUUGUCCAGGCUAGAGUGCAGUGGCUAUUCACAGAUGCGAACAUAGUACACUGCAGCCUCCAACUCCUAGCCUCAAGUGAUCCUCCUGUCUCAACCUCCCAAGUAGGAUUACAAGCAUGCGCCGACGAUGCCCAGAAUCCAGAACUUUGUCUAUCACUCUCCCCAACAACCUAGAUGUGAAAACAGAAUAAACUUCACCCAGAAAACACUUUGUCCUGCUGUCAAUCAUGUUUGCAGUGAGAAGCCCAAAACAAUCUGGCUCUGGCCUGCACCAUCCACACACCCCCAUUCCCAUUUUCCCCUCGAGUCAACCACAGCUCCUGGAACACAACCAGUUGAUUUUGUUUCUGGGCCUUAGCACAUGUUGGUCUCUACCUGGAUGCCUUCAGAAGCUCAUCUGCCUGAAAAACUCCCUUCCAUCCUUCCAGACUCAGUUCAGACAUCCCCUCCUCUGGACUCCUGCCUAGCAGGUCCUCCUGUAUAAAUGGACAGGCUUGAUUCCACAGGGUGCUUGGGGAGGCAGAACUCAGUUUGUUCUCACUGAGAGAAGCUUCCAGGUACUUCUCUGAUUAGGCAGAGAUGGAGAAGCCAGGUCUCCGUUCUCUCAAGAAGCGCUAGUGAUCACCCUCAGAUGGAGAAUAAAGGCCAGCCCUUCGCUCUGGGGAAAGGGCGUAACAGCAGCUUUUCGAGGGCUCGGCAAGGUCCCCCUUUCCUCAUAGGACUCUGGGGAUAGGGAGAACAGUUUGCAUAUGGAAUUCACAGCCCUUCUGAAUAGGAAGGAGAAGACAACCCAAGCACAUAGGAAGCAUUCCGUAAAUGUCAGUUAUGAUUGAUGAAGGACUUGCAUAAAACAAAGAGGGAACAGCCAAGUGACAACCAGGAAUUAGCUCAUCUGACUUUGGAGUCAGGGUUUACUCUCUGGGGCUCACAGACCAUAUUCUUCCUUUCUUCCAAAGUUGGCACCAAACUAGGGUCUCUGCCCUUAGAAGAAGCCCCCUCCACUUAUUCCCUUGGACAACAUCAAGGCCAGAGAGAUGGGCAGCCCUGCCCCAGGAUUUUAGAUCUGAGGCCUCAGCAGUCCUCAGGCUGAAUGACACUGGAAAUGACCAGUUCUUUAUGGGAGACUCCACCUUCCCCAGGAUCCCUUGGGACCGGCCUGCGCAGGAUAACUCCUUGCCUUCAUUCUAUGGAGUUUCGCUCUGUCACCCAGGCUGGAGGGCAAUGGUGCAAUGGUGCGAUCUCGGCUCACUGCAACCUCCACCUCCCGGGUUCAAGCGAGUCUCCUGCCUCAGCCUCCCGAGUAGCUGGGAUUACUGCCUGCUAGCCUCAUUGCCUUUGCACAAGCUCUUCCCUCUGCCUGGAACACUUGUUGCUUCAGGAGUCGGCUCGAUGUAACUUCUACAGGGACCUGAGCCCCAAUCCAAGUUAGACACCUGGUUAUUGCAGCAGCCUGUAUCUCACCGUCCCAGAAUGAAUCAUGACUGCAAUGAAAACGAUGGCAUGAGCAUUUGUUACCAUCAGGCUUCCGCCCUAGAUUAUGAGCUCCCUGAGGACAAGCAGAGGGUUCAUCUCUCUUUAUAGCUAGAACCCAGCACAGCGCCUGGCACUCAGGAGGCACCCAAUUACUUUGGCUGACUGGAUAGACAUACAUACAG
rnacentral:lncRNA from 1 species